GGAGUAGUGGCUCAGUGGUAGAGCACUUGCCUAGCAUGUGUGAGGCACGCAGGACAUAUAAAUCAAUAAAAUAAAGGUCCAUUGACAACUAAAAAAUUAUUAAAUAAAUAAAUAAAUAAAAGAAAGGGGGGCUGGGUAUGUAUCUCAGUGGUAGAACAUGUAGGCAAGACCUUGGGUUCAAUGUCCAGUAACCCCC
rnacentral:tRNA from 1 species